rnacentral:rRNA from 1 species
UACGUAGGGUGCGAGCGUUGUCCGGAAUUAUUGGGCGUAAAGAGCUUGUAGGCGGUUUGUCGCGUCUGCUGUGAAAAUCCGGGGCUCAACCCCGGACUUGCAGUGGGUACGGGCAGACUAGAGUGUGGUAGGGGAGACUGGAAUUCCUGGUGUAGCGGUGAAAUGCGCAGAUAUCAGGAGGAACACCGGUGGCGAAGGCGGGUCUCUGGGCCGUAACUGACGCUGAGGAGCGAAAGCGUGGGGAGCGAUCCGG